rnacentral:rRNA from 1 species
UAUUACCUGCUGACGAGCGGCGGACGGCUGAGUAACGCGUGGGAACGUACCCCAAAGUGAGGAAUAACUGCCCGAAAGGGUGGCUAAUGCCGCAUAUGGUCUUCGGAUUAAAGGAUUUAUCCGCUUUGGGAACGGCCUGCGUAUGAUUAGAUAGUUGGUGAGGUAAUGGCUCACCAAGUCUACGAUCAUUAACUGGUCUGAGAGGAUGAUCAGUCAGACUGGAACUGAGACACGGUCCAGACUCC